rnacentral:rRNA from 1 species
UACGGGGGGAGCAAGCGUUGUUCGGAUUUACUGGGCGUAAAGGGCGCGUAGGCGGCGCAACAAGUCACUUGUGAAAUCUCCGGGCUUAACCCGGAGCGGUCAAGUGAUACUGUCGUGCUAGAGUGCGGAAGGGGCAACUGGAAUUCUCGGUGUAGCGGUGAAAUGCGUAGAGAUCAUGAGGAAGACCAGUGGCGAAGGCGGGUCUCUGGACAGUUCCUGACACUGAGGCACGAAGGCCAGGGGAGCAAACGGG